rnacentral:rRNA from 6 species
AAAUUGAAGAGUUUGAUCAUGGCUCAGAUUGAACGCUGGCGGCAGGCCUAACACAUGCAAGUCGAACGGUAACAGGAAGCAGCUUGCUGCUUCGCUGACGAGUGGCGGACGGGUGAGUAAUGUCUGGGAAACUGCCUGAUGGAGGGGGAUAACUACUGGAAACGGUGGCUAAUACCGCAUAACGUCGCAAGACCAAAGAGGGGGACCUUCGGGCCUCUUACCAUCAGAUGUGCCCAGAUGGGAUUAGCU